GGGAUGGGGGGGGGGCCUGCGGCCCGAGGGGGUCGCCCUGCCUGGCUGGGUGGGGCCGGCCGGAAACCUUCUCCCGCCCCAGCGCCCUGCGGACUACAGGGACCAGGCCUGCCCUGCGGGGGACCGGGGGGGGGGGGCGGACAGGACACGUCUGGGGCCACCGGGACCCUGGCUUUACCAUGUCAGACCCUGGGGUCUGUGACCUGGGCCGCGAGGGGGCGGCCUGGAGGGAUGGUCUCCCUGAAGAAAUCCCUCUGGCCCUUUCUAAGGGGCACACUCAGGCCAGUUGUCCCUCUCCAGGAGCCCAGAGCAAUGUCGUAUUUCUCUGCAUGGUGACCGAGGCUUCCUGACUCCCAGUCACUCCUUAGAGGAGAAACAUUUUUAUAACCGGCCUGCUGGCAGGCAAGGUCAGGCUUACGUGGACGGCCUCCCUUCUGGAGUUUUCCAUUUAAUUAUUUACACAGGCCCCGAACAAGCCCACAGACCUCUGCAGGAAGUCACAAGGCGGCAUUUAUUCUUCUGCAAACGGUCUCAUUUCUCCAGGGACCCUUCCUCUCUUAAAUGUGACCCUUGGAGUGCUGGUGGCAGGGGAUAGAAUAUCAAACAAAACAACCCAUCCCUGCUUUCAUGGAGCCUGGAGUUUAUUGAGGAAGCCGGACCCUGAGGAAAUGACCAUGGUGUUUGGAGACCUGCAAAGGGACCUUCGCUGACUGGACACAGCUUCCCCCCAGGGCUAUUGCAGCUGCGAGAGCCACUGACGGUUAAGAAUUCUUACCAGAUCAGUCACCUGGAUCUCCACCUGUAGGAUCCAGUGGAAGCGAGCGUGAUGGUCUUUGUUCCACAACUGGAUGAGGGCGGCACACCCAACAGAACACUUGUGCUAAAGACCUCUGAAGGCGGUGGAAUGUGCAGAGAUUGUCUACUGAGAGGAACGACGUCUUCUGCUUUACCAGCCCUCGGCCUGAGUGAAUGAUGCAAGUCUAGCCCUGGAGACAUGAGUAAAUCCACUUGAGAAUUCCUCAGUCCUGAACUCCCCAGAAAUAAAUGACCGUAUAUUUUUCCUGUCCCCAAGGAUGUUCUGAAACAUACCUGCCCAUGAGCUAAAUAACCCAUAUCUUAGAACACGGCCACAUGGAGGACUAAAUCCAAAGACUGUGACCUUUCUUCCCACAGCAAGCCUCUUUUCUUUAGCAGCCUGUGGCUUUUAGACACCAAAUCUUGGGUUCUAAGUUUUUACACCCCUCUCCGCACCGCCCCUGAUCCAGUUAAAGUGGUGGGCUAGCCAUCUUGAGCUCUCUCAACACAGGGAAGCCAUCUCUGAGUUGUCUGGCCCUCAUAAAGAUCCAGGUCUCCUCCCGCUGGUCCCUAAACAAACUGAGACAGCCUUGUCCUCAUGGAUGGAUGGUGGUGAGCAGAAGACAGUUCUCUGCCAUCUCGUUCCAACCUCACAGUCUCCCGAACUUUGUCUAUUCCUCUCAGCUGUACAUAGCCAUUUAUAGAUUCCCAUAUUCCCAUUAGCAAUGGCUUUGCCUGAGAUACAUCCCUGGAAAAGAUGGGGCCUGAAGGAUUGCUUCCCAAAGGGGUUCAGCCACAUGCUUCAAAGGAAACCCCAAUGCUGCUGGAGGGGGACAUCCAGGGAUCCUUAUACACUUGUAUGUCUUAGCAUUUGCUCAGUUCUGGGCACAAGAUGGAUCCUUUAGAAGCUAUUCCUUUCCCAUAAACUAAUAGUUUGUGGUUCUAAUGCUCAACAUGGAUCCCCUUCUCUAUUCCUGGGAUUUAGAGAGCGGCCCUCACAGAAGCCAGCAUGGCAUGAUGCCCGUUUGGAUCCCGAAGGUUACCUUCUGUCCUCUGAAGUAUACAAAACUCCAUUUCAACUGCAACUUUCCAGACAAUAACCCCGACCAGUGGAGCCCAGGUGGACACCAGCCCUAAUUAUCGUCUUUCUGACAAAGACUGCUGGAAGCUCAAAAUGCUUGACAAGAGGUGCCAGGAGGCAGAGGGACAAGCCAGCCACAGAGGAAGUCACUCAGAAACCCAGGGAGUUGAAAUCCCUUCUCAAGGGCUUGGUUUCAAAAAAACAAAUGUUUUGGGGCACCUGGGUGGCUCAGUCGUUAAGCGUCUGCCUCCGGCUCAGGUCAUGAUCCAGGGGUCCUGGGAUCAAGCCCCGCAUCGGGCUCCCUGCUCCGCAGGAAGCCUGCUUUUCCCUCUCCCACUCCCCCUGCUUGUGUUCCCUCUCUCGCUCUCUCUCUCUCUGUCAAAUAAAUAAAUAAAAUCUUUUUAAAA